rnacentral:tRNA from 1 species
GACAGCGUGCCAGAGUGGUUAAUGGGUAUGACUCGAAUCAUCCUCUACUUGAUAUCAUAUGGCUUCGGCCGCGCAGGUUCGAAUCCUGCCGCUGUCG